rnacentral:rRNA from 1 species
UACGUAGGGUGCAAGCGUUGUCCGGAAUUAUUGGGCGUAAAGAGCUCGUAGGCGGUCUGUCGCGUCGGCUGUGAAAUCCCGAGGCUCAACCUCGGGUCUGCAGUCGAUACGGGCAACUGGAGUAUUGCAGGGGAGACUGGAAUUCCUGGUGUAGCGGUGAAAUGCGCAGAUAUCAGGAGGAACACCGGUGGCGAAGGCGGGUCUCUGGGCAAUAACUGACGCUGAGGAGCGAAAAGCGUGGGGGAGCGAACAGG